GACGAACGCUGGCGGCGUGCUUAACACAUGCAAGUCGAACGGAAAGGCCCUGCUUUUGUGGGGUGCUCGAGUGGCGAACGGGUGAGUAACACGUGAGUAACCUGCCCUUGACUUUGGGAUAACUUCAGGAAACUGGGGCUAAUACCGGAUAGGAGCUCCUGCUGCAUGGUGGGGGUUGGAAAGUUUCGGCGGUUGGGGAUGGACUCGCGGCUUAUCAGCUUGUUGGUGGGGUAGUGGCUUACCAAGGCUUUGACGGGUAGCCGGCCUGAGAGGGUGACCGGCCAGAUUGGGACUGAGGUCAGGCCGAGACUCCUACGGGAGGCAGCAGUGGGGAAUAUUGCACAAUGGGCGGAAGCCUGAUGCAGCAACGCCGCGUGCGGGAUGAGGGCCUUCGGGUUGUAACCCGCUUUCGCCUGUGACGAAGCGUGAGUGACGGUAAUGGGUAAAGAAGCACCGGCUAACUACGUG
rnacentral:rRNA from 1 species